CGGACGGGUGAGUAACGCGUGGGGAACCUGCCUUGCACCGGGGGAUAACACUUAGAAAUAGGUGCUAAUACCGCAUAUGCGCACAGGGCCGCAUGGCCUGGUGCGGAAAGGAGCAAUCCGGCAUACGAUGGGUCCGCGUCCGAUUAGCUAGUUGGCGGGGCAGCGGCCCACCAAGGCGACGAUCGGUAGCCGGCCUGAGAGGGCGGACGGCCACAUUGGGACUGAGACACGGCCCAGACUCCUACGGAAGGCAGCAG
rnacentral:rRNA from 1 species